CUCGUAGGCGGUUUGUCGCGUCUGCCGUGAAAGUCCGGGGCUCAACUCCGGAUCUGCGGUGGGUACGGGCAGACUAGAGUGAUGUAGGGGAGACUGGAAUUCCUGGUGCAGCGGUGAAAUGCGCAGAUAUCAGGAGGAACACCGAUGGCGAAGGCAGGUCUCUGGGCAUUAACUGACGCUGAGGAGCGAAAGCAUGGGAGCGAACA
rnacentral:rRNA from 1 species